rnacentral:rRNA from 1 species
GACGAACGCUGGCGGCGUGCUUAACACAUGCAAGUCGAACGGUGAAGCGCCUUCCGUUUUGGUGGGUGUGGAUGAGUGGCGAACGGGUGAGUAACACGUGAGUAACCUGCCCCCUUCUUCUGGAUAACCGCAUGAAAGUGUGGCUAAUACGGGAUAUUCUGGGUCUGUCGCAUGAUGGGUCUGGGAAAGAUAUUGUUUCGGUGGGGGAUGGGCUCGCGGCCUAUCAGCUUGUUGGUGGGGUGAUGGCCUACCAAGGCGGUGACGGGUAGCCGGCCUGAGAGGGUGGACGGUCACACUGGGACUGAGACACGGCCCAGACUCCUACGGGAGGCAGCAGUGGGGAAUAGUGCACAAUGGGCGCAAGCCUGAUGCAGCGACGCCGCGUGAGGGAUGGAGGCCUGCGGGUUGUGAACCUCUUUCGCCAGUGAAGCAGGCCUGCCUCGUUUGUGGGUGGGUUGACGGUAGCUGGAUAAGAAGCGCCGGCUAACUACGUG